rnacentral:lncRNA from 1 species
CCAUUUUGCAGUUCAUGACGGAUCUUCUUUUAUCCCCUGAAAAAUAAAGCAAUGGGAGUCUCUAUGGCUGCAUGAUAUGGUGGCCUAUGUAGCAAAAUAUAUAGAGCUUCCAAGUUCCAAUCUUUGAGCAUUGGUGAAAUAAAUUAAUAUAUAUAUAUAUAUAUAUAUAUAUAUGAAUAUAUAUAUAUAUAUAUGAACUUAGGAGAGGCCAAAAGCCAGAAUAGAUUGAGAAGAAUAAAUAUCUUUGGCAAAGAACUAGGAGCCAGAUUCUUGAGGGUUAGAGAAUUGAAGAAUAUUUCGGCAAUAUUAAUUCCUUUCUUCUUCUUUUUCACUUUCUUUAUU